rnacentral:rRNA from 1 species
AUUGAACGCUGGCGGCAUGCUUUACACAUGCAAGUCGAACGGUAACAGGCCUUCGGGUGCUGACGAGUGGCGAACGGGUGAGUAAUGCAUCGGAACGUGCCCAAUCGUGGGGGAUAACGUAGCGAAAGUUACGCUAAUACCGCAUAAGCCCUGAGGGGGAAAGUGGGGGACCGCAAGGCCUCACGCGAAUGGAGCGGCCGAUGUCAGAUUAGCUAGUUGGUGGGGUAAAGGCCCACCAAGGCGACGAUCUGUAGCGGGUCUGAGAGGAUGAUCCGCCACACUGGGACUGAGACACGGCCCAGACUCCUACGGGAGGCAGCAGUGGGGAAUUUUGGACAAUGGGCGCAAGCCUGAUCCAGCCAUGCCGCGUGCGGGACGAAGGCCUCGGUUGUAACCGACUUC